GCAGUUUUCUCGGAUUCGUGGGAUGGUAGGGCAUGGAUUGACUUGGCGAGAUCACUGAUGAGUUGAGAAGAUGCAUGGAUUUAGUGAUACACUUGUGAGCUAGCACUCUAUCAAUUAGAGUUCAAUUAAUCAUUCCACUUCACAGAAGAGUUCGAUUUGAUUUACUUAGAAAUGAUUAUGUUUAGUUGAAUAAAUUAUGAGUCGAGUUAACUUUUACUGAGUUUCCUUCCUUGGAAAGAAAGAAAAAGCUAUUUCAACAUUUUUAUGUAGUUAUAAAUAGGCUAAAUUAUAAAAAAUUUAUAUAUAUAUAUAUAUACCUACUUUUUCACUUUUUCUUUUUCACUUUUCUUUUCUAACUUUUAAAAACUUACAGUUUACCCUUUGAACAUUUUAAAUUGUUGCAUUUAGCUCCCUUCUAUCAAAAUUUCAUAAUUUAUAUUGAAAAUGCCCUUCAAAAUGACAAAAANCUAAAUUACCUUUUCUUUUCUAACUUUUAAAAACUUACAGUUUACCCUUUGAACAUUUUAAAUUGUUGCAUUUAGCUCCCUUCUAUCAAAAUUUCAUUAUUAUUCCAUCAAUUUCUUAUAAUUUAUAUUGAAAAUGCCCUUCAAAAUGACAAAAAUAUAUUAAAAAUUUAUUUUUUCUUACAGAAGAAGUAAAGGUAAUUUAGUCAUUUUGCUCUCUCCAUUAAUUCCAUCAAUUUUUUAUAAUUUAUAUUGAAAAUGCCCUUCAAAAUGACAAAAAUAUAAUAUAUUAAAAUUUUAUUUUUUAUUACAGAAGAAGUAAAGGUAAUUUAAUCAUUUUGCUCUUUCCAUUAAUGUCGUAUCCCUGAAAUAUUUUUGAAAUUUUAAGGGAGCAAAAUGUAGGAAAAGUAAAAAAAUGAAUAUUUACAAGGAGGUUUUUUGUAAUUUAGCAUUAUAAAUACAAUAUUAUUAGAAAUAGGUGUAGUUAGAGAUAGAAUAGUUAUAGUUUCGGAGUUAUUUGACGGUA
rnacentral:lncRNA from 1 species